rnacentral:rRNA from 1 species
UACAGAGACUGCAAGCGUUAUUCGGAUUCACUGGGCGUAAAGGGCGCGCAGGCGGCCAAGUGUGUGAGGCGUGAAAGCCUGGAGCUUAACUCCAGAAUUGCACCUCAAACUACUUGGCUAGAGCAUUGGAGAGGGUAGCAGAAUUCUUGGUGUAGCGGUGAAAUGCGUAGAUAUCAAGAGGAACACCUGAGGCGAAGGCGGGUUGCUAGGCUGACACUGACGCUGAUGCGCGAAAGCCAGGGGAGCAAACGGG